UACGUAGGGUCCGAGCGUUGUCCGGAAUUAUUGGGCGUAAAGGGCUCGUAGGCGGUUCGUCACGUCGGGAGUGAAAACUCGGGGCUUAACCCCGAGCCUGCUUCCGAUACGGGCAGACUAGAGGUAGGCAGGGGAGAGCGGAACUCCUGGUGUAGCGGUGGAAUGCGCAGAUAUCAGGAAGAACACCGGUGGCGAAGGCGGGUCUCUGGGCCGUAACUGACGCUGAGGAGCGAAAGCGUGGGGAGCGAACAGG
rnacentral:rRNA from 1 species